rnacentral:miRNA from 1 species
UGUCUUCUCUCCUCCCAAACAG